rnacentral:rRNA from 1 species
AGAGUUUGAUCCUGGCUCAGAACAAACGCUGGCGGCGUGUCUUAAGCAUGCAAGUCGGGCGGCAAGGGCAGCAAUGCCCCUAGAGCGGCGGACUGGUGAGUAACGCGUGGGUGAUCUACCUUUAGGGCAUGGGGAUAGCCACUAGAAAUAGUGGGUAAUACCGAAUACGUUUGUGCGGGUGGGACCGCACAAAGAAAGGUGCUACGGCAUCGGCCUAAAGAUGAGCCUGCGUCCCAUUAGCUAGUUGGUGAGGUAAAGGCCCACCAAGGCGAUGAUGGGUAGCCGGCCUGAGAGGGUGUACGGCCACACUGGGACUGAGAUACGGCCCAGACUCCUACGGGAGGCAGCAGCUAAGAAUAUUCCGCAAUGGACGAAAGUCUGACGGAGCGACGCCGCGUGGAUGAAGAAGGCCGAAAGGUUGUAAAAUCCUUUUGCUGGGGAAGAAUAAGUCUGGGAGGGAAUGCCCGGAUGAUGACAUGAACCGGCGAAUAAGCCCCGGCCAACUACGUGCCAGCAGCCGCGGUAA